rfam:TPA: Bos taurus chromosome 23, whole genome shotgun sequence.
CCAAAGGCUCUUUUAAGAGCCACUUAAGUUUCUAAAGGGCUGUAG